rnacentral:tRNA from 3 species
GGGCAAUUAGCUCAGCGGUAGAGCGUCCGCCCUACACGCGGAAGGCCGUAGGUCCGAAUCCUACAUUGCCCACAA